rnacentral:rRNA from 1 species
GUGGGGAAUAUUGGACAAUGGGCGAAAGCCUGAUCCAGCCAUGCCGCGUGUGUGAAGAAGGUCUUCGGAUUGUAAAGCACUUUAAGUUGGGUGGAAGGGUUGUAGAUUAAUACUCUGCAAUUUUGACGUUACCGACAGAAUAAGCACCGGCUAACUUCGUGCCAGCAGCCGCGGUAAUACGAAGGGUGCAAGCGUUAAUCGGAAUUACUGGGCGUAAAGCGCGCGUAGGUGGUUCGUUAAGUUGGAUGUGAAAGCCCCGGGCUCAACCUGGGAACUGCAUCCAAAACUGGCGAGCUAGAGUACGAUAGAGGGUGGUGGAAUUUCCUGUGUAGCGGUGAAAUGCGUAGAUAUAGGAAGGAACACCAGUGGCGAAGGCGACCACCUGGACUGAUACUGACACUGAGGUGCGAAAGCGUGGGGAGCAAACAGGAUUAGAAACCCGUGUAGUCC